AGUGAACGCUGGCGGUAGGCCUAACACAUGCAAGUCGAACGGCAGCACAGUAAGAGCUUGCUCUUACGGGUGGCGAGUGGCGGACGGGUGCGGAAUACAUCGGAAUCUACUUUUUCGUGGGGGAUAACGUAGGGAAACUUACGCUAAUACCGCAUACGACCUACGGGUGAAAGCAGGGGAUCUUCGGACCUUGCGCGAUUGAAUGAGCCGAUGUCGGAUUAGCUAGUUGGCGGGGUAAAGGCCCACCAAGGCGACGAUCCGUAGCUGGUCUGAGAGGACGACCAGCCACACUGGAACUGAGACACGGUCCAGACUCCUACGGGAGGCAGCAGUGGGGAAUAUUGGACAAUGGGCGCAAGCCUGAUCCAGCCAUACCGCGUGGGUGAAGAAGGCCUUCGGGUUGUAAAGCGCUUUUGUCGGGAAAGAAAAGCAGCAGGUUAAUACCCCGCUGUUCUGACGGUACCCAAAGAAUAAGCACCGGCUAACUUCGUG
rnacentral:rRNA from 1 species